rnacentral:rRNA from 1 species
AAUUAAGAGGUAUCUUGUUUUAUUGUUAAGAUUUUUGAAUUUAAAUUUAAAGAAGUAAUAUUGUUAAUAGAUUAGUAAUAAAGAAAGAAAGUUUUAAUUAGGCUAUAGUUUAUAAGUAUUGUAAAAGAAAGAUAAAAAUUAAAUUUUAAUUAAAGUAAAAAUAAAUAUUUGUACCUUUUGUAUCAGGGAUAUUCAAUAUUAUCGAUUUAUAUAGUUGAGAUCUCGAAGUGAGGGGAGCUAAUUUUUUGUUUAUAAUUAUGUAGUAAAAUAAUAUAUAAUAUAAGGUUAGUAAUGAUAUUUUAGUCGAUCUUCAUAUAUCUAGUUUUUUCUGAAAUAAAUUUAAUUUAGCCGUUGUUUUGAAUUGUAUUCAGCGGGAAAUAGCAGAGGGGAAGAGCUCUUUGUUUAAGGUUUUUAUAAUGUUAGAUGUUGUUAAUAUUGAGUUAGGCUUAAAAUCAGCCAAAUUCAUAAGGAGUUAUAUCCAAAUUAUUAGCUGGAUAAUUUUAUAUGUUUUUUAAAAACUUAAGAAAAAGUAAUUUAGUCUAUAAUAAGGUUAGUUAUUAUGAUUGUAUAAGUAUAUAAUUUUGUUACUUUAAUAUUUGGAGUAAAAGAAAGUUUUAUUUAAAUGAUGGUAAAAAAUAGGAACUCGGCAAUAAAUACUUCUGCCUGUUUAUCAAAAACAUGUCUAUAUGUAGUUAAUAUAAAGUCUGGCCUGCCCACUGAAUGUUUAAAUGGCCGCGGUAAUUUGACCGUGCGAAGGUAGCAUAAUCAAUAGUCUUUUAAUUGGGGGCUGGAAUGAAUGGUCGUACAAGAAGUAGUCUGUCUUUUUUAUAAUAAUUGAAUUUAACUUUUAAGUGAGAAGGCUUAAAUUUCUUAGGGGGACGAUAAGACCCUAUAAAACUUUACAUGGGUUAGAUGAUUUUUAAAUUUAAGUUUAAUAAGAAUUAUUUUAAUCUUGUUACGUUGGGGCGACGAAAAUAUAAAUGUAACUGUUUAUUAAUUAAAAUAAAAUUAUUUAGUAUAAGUUGGUCCUUUAUUAUGGAUUAUAAGAAUAAGUUACUUUAGGGAUAACAGCGUAAUUUUUUCUGAGAGUUCUUAUCGAUGAAAGUAGUUGCGACCUCGAUGUUGAAUUAAAGUUUCAUCAAGGUGUAGAAGCUUUGACUGUAGGUCUGUUCGACCUUUAAAACUUUACAUGAUUUGAGUUCAAACCGGUGUGAGCCAGGUUGGUUUCUAUCUUUUAGAUCAAGUUUAGUUGCUUUAGUACGAAAGGACCAAGUAAUUGAAAGAUUUUUUCUUUGAAGAUGGACAUUAAAAUAAUUACCUUGGCAGAAUAAUGUAUUAGAUUUAGGAUCUAAAGAUAUAGGGA